rnacentral:rRNA from 1 species
AGAGUUGAUCAUGGCUCAGGAUGAACGCUGGCGGCGUGCCUAACACAUGCAAGUCGAGCGAGACUCCGGCAGAAGAGACUUCGGUUAAAUCAGUCGGACGAUAGCGGCGGACGGGUGAGUAACGCGUAGGCAAUCUGCCCCGUACAGAGGGAUAGCCGUUGGAAACGACGAGUAAGACCUCAUGAUGCAGCACUUUCACAUGGGAGAGCUGCCAAAGAUUUAUCGGUAUGGGAUGAGCCUGCGUCUGAUUAGCUGGUUGGUGAGGUAACGGCCCACCAAGGCGACGAUCAGUAGCCGGCCUGAGAGGGUGUACGGCCACACUGGGACUGAGACACGGCCCAGACUCCUACGGGAGGCAGCAGUAGGGAAUAUUGCGCAAUGGACGGAAGUCUGACGCAGCGACGCCGCGUGAGGGACGAAGGCCUUCGGGUUGWAAACCUMUGUCUGGGGGGAUGAGAACGGACGGUACCCCCGGAGGAAGCCCCGGCUAACUACGUGCCAGCAGCCGCGGUAAUACGUAGGGGGCUAGCGUUGUCCGGAAUUACUGGGCGUAAAGGGCGUGUAGGCGGUCGUGCAAGUCGGUUGUGAAAGUCUAGGGCUCAACUCUAGGAUGCCGAUCGAAACUGCAUGGCUUGAGGGCAAGAGAGGGAAGCGGAAUUCCCGGUGUAGCGGUGAAAUGCGKAGAUAUCGGGAGGAACACCAGUGGCGAAGGCGGCUUCCUGGAUUGCACCUGACGCUGAGGCGCGAAAG